ACAAAAAAUAUUAAGUUUAAGUUUUAAAAAAAAAAAAAUAACGUUUGUCAAAUAUAUCAUAUGAAAAAAUUAACGUUGGAUAUGUUUCAUUUAUUGUGUACGAAGCCAAACCAAUGGUUUAAAUGCUGAAUGCUGAAUCGGUGAAUGAUGUUGCACAGGCACUUGACACAGAUUAGUAUACAUGAAUAAAAUUCAAAAUUUGUUGUAUAUCGGUAAAUUUGAUAUAUUUCCCCAAUAUUUUGCUCAUACUCAUUCAGAGAAAGCAUGUUGUAAAAUAAUGUUGUCCGUAGUUUGCAUAUGGGAGUAAAAAUGUAACAUUCGUUUUUACCAGAGACAACAGGAGUGGGUACAAACCUAGCUAUAUGUACACACUGGUGAAAUUGGAAUUUGUGUAUGAAAUACUAGUAACAAAACAUACAUUUUAAAAAUAAGUUUUCAUCUUAAAUGUGGCCAACAUUCUAGAGAACAAUCCGUAUAUCAAUAAAGUUGUUUAUUUUUCAGUACUUUCCAAGCUUAAAGAUCAUCUGUUAAAGAGAUAAAGGAUAUUCUACUUGCAAAACAGGCUGAUCAUGAUGAUAUAAUUGUUACGGAUCAAGAGAUGAUUGAAUCACUUUUUCCUGAAAGAUGGAAGUUUGACACCAUCGAAGAAUUACAAGACUUCGAAGAUCAACCGGAUGAUGGGACAUUCAGAAGACAAAAAGAAUGUUCGCAAUCUGGCUAGUCUACAAGGAGGCAGUGACCGAGAGAAAAUAUGUCGAUGUAUGAUGAGAUCCGUAAUGACGAAAAUGCUGAUGAGCAAAUACAGUGAAAAUUGGUCUUUAAAAACAGCAGUUUGCAAAGUAAUUCUGAAAGCAGUAAAGAAAUCCUCCGUCAGCAUUCAUGGACAAUGAUAUACUGACCGAAAUAGGUGACGUCUGAAGGAACGCUCCAAACCAGCCUGGUGGUUCCAACUACAAGAAUGAGAAUUUGGAGUACAGAAAAAGACAGCGGAUUUCAAGUGAUUCCAGUUGAUGAUCAUUAUAAUGUUAAUAAACAUUUUUGAAACA